CCUCGAUGGCGAACGCGACACGCUCGGCUUCUACCUGAGCGGCCACCCGUUCGAUCCCUAUGCCGAGGAC
rnacentral:tRNA from 1 species